AUAGACCAGAUGCAUGACCAAGUCAAGUGAUCACUCAGAGGGCAGGAAGGAAGCAAAGAGUUCCAAAAUACAUUCACUUCUUUCAUCUAUACUUUUCAGCUAGACAAUAUAAGGUUUGAAUCAAUGGGAGCUGGACACUGGACAAUGGGGUCAGGAGGUGGCCAGGGGCACAGCAAGGACUCAGUGCUGCACCGGCCAACCUGCCUCCCUCCUUCAGGAGGACCCUAAAUUACUCAACAGGGAUAGCAGAGGACCUUAACUCUAACACCCAGUGCUAUUCUUUUACCCCAGAUGGUGGUGACGACAUCAUAUUGGGGACACACCUAUGUGGCACACAGUCCCCUCCUUUCAAUACCUCUCUUCAGCACAGUGAAGCUGUCCCUGGCCACUCCCAAUGAACAAUCAAGCAGCCUUUAAAAACUGGGUUCUCCCAACUGGAAGAAAAGCACGGUGUCAUUUUUACAAUCACUAAAAUAAUGCAAAAGUAAGAUAGAGGCACAUGGUUGUCUAACAGGGCCAGGCAACGAUUUCAAAAGAAUGAGAUGUCAGAAUUUCCUCUUAGUCACCCAGGAGGUUGAAGGAGAUGGACUAAGACAGUAUCAAAGGGCGUCCCCGGGAGGAAGCAGGCAACACUGAGCUAACACAGCUUCAUUUCCAAGUACAUCAUUUCAUAACCAAACUGAGGAGAGUGAGAGUAAGGCAAUUCUGAUUUGGAUACACAGGCAGCAGACCCUGUGCUUGCCGGCAGGCAGGCUGCAGACGUUUCUGUGGUGAGCAUUGCUUCAGCCCAGGCCCCAAGAUCAAAGCACUAAUUGUUCCUUAGUCACAUGCCUGACCCACAGCCUGUGCCCUCUGUCCCCUGGGCUCCAAGGCUGUGACACAGGAGGACAAUUCAGAACACACCAAGUUCAGGACUUUAGGGGAAGUCCUCAUGAGAGGAGAGCACUCACAUGCUGUGUAAGCAAGAAAGGGUUUUCCCCAGCCCACUAGCUCUGGGCUACAGUGAAGGGCUAAGGCUCUCCUGGUGUGUUUGCAGAGUGUGGUCGUGAAGACCCAGCACACAGAAAACCUCCACAUGCAGUACUGCUCUGCUAGGGAGGUCUUCACAUCUCAUCCCCCACACACAGGCUUUCCUCAGCCCUAGGCCAGAACUUAUCCUUCAUUGUGAGCAUAACUGUGUGAAGCCAGAGGUCAGCAUCUGGGGUCUUCCUUUACUGCUCUCUGCUUGUUCUUUUUAGACAGGGUCUCUCCUACUGAACCUGGAGAUUACCAGGGGAACACUGUCAGCAGAGCCCCAGGCAUCUUCCUGUUUCUGCUUCCCUGCUUCUGAGUUUAUGGAUGCACACUGCAGGACCACACUGAGGCGCUGGGGACUGAACUCGGGUCCUCGUGUUUGCAUGGCUGCUGGCCAUGGCUUUCCUUCUUCUGGUCAGCAAUAAUUGGGGCUCAGAAACCAGAAGACACAUACCAGAGAGCUAGCUAUCCUGGCCUGGGGUAAUGAAGGACAAGAGCAACAGGUCUUAAAGCAACGAGGUCGUCUCACAUGGACAGACACCCCUGAAACUGUGAGUAGAAAGAAUCCUUUCUUCUUAAUUCUCUCAGGUAUUUGUUAUAGUAGUGGGGAAAGGGUCAAGCAGACACCACCUAUUAAAUUAAUCCCCAGUGUGGAUGGAGAUGUCUCAUGGUAGGGACAGCAGCUUUGGGCUUGUCUAUAUUGUGCAUUUUCGGCACACAGCAAGUGUGUAACAAGACUUCCUGGGAGCAAUUAGUUUUAUAGACUCCAUAAGGGAAAGUACUGUUGCUCACCUCUCUCAAGACCAGAGGCCUGGGGGACUCAGCAGGUACUCAGACCCUCAAUUCCCUACAUGGGAUGGUUGAACCAGGGUUUGCCCAGAUAACCAAGCUAGGCCUUUCUCUUUCUUCCCUUCUUCCCUCCUUCCCAUUUUAACCUAUAUUCCCACUGAAAGUACAGAGGUAGUUAUGGAGAGGAGCAACUCGUACAACUGACCUUCA